GGUCCGGUAGCUCAAUGGUUAGAGCACUUGCCUUUUAAGCAAGGUGUUCUGGGUUCGACUCCCAGCCGGAUCA
rnacentral:tRNA from 1 species